AGCAGCCGCGGUAAUUCCAGCUCCAAUAGCGUAUAUUAAAGUUGUUGCAGUUAAAAAGCUCGUAGUUGAAUUUCGGGAUCAGUACGCUGGUCGUGCCUUUGGUAUGUACUGGUGUCACUGAUUCCUCCCUUCUGAAGAACCGUUAUGCCAUUUAUUUGGUGUGGCGGGGAAUCAGGACUGUUACUUUGAAAAAUUAGAGUGUUUAAAGCAGGCUCGCGCUUGAAUACAUUAGCAUGGAAUAAUGAAAUAGGACGUUUGAUUCUAUUUUGUUGGUUUCUAGGAUCGACGUAAUGAUUAAUAGGGAUAGUUGGGGGCAUUAGUAUUCAAUUGUCAGAGGUGAAAUUCUUGGAUUUAUUGAAGACUAACUACUGCGAAAGCAUUUGCCAAGGAUGUUUUCAUUAAUCAAGAACGAAAGUUAGGGGAUCGAAGACGAUCAGAUACCGUCGUAGUCUUAACCAUAAACUAUGCCGACUAGGGAUCGGAUGAUGUUAAUUUUUAAUGACUCAUUCGGCGCCUUAAC
rnacentral:rRNA from 1 species